rnacentral:tRNA from 1 species
CAAUAUUGUAGUUUAAAAAAGGAAAAUGUGGGUUUGUGGUGCUCAAGAUGGCGUAUGGUGUCUGUGUUGU